ACAUGGCUACAGACAUUUGGUCUUGGACAUGGCUACAGACAUUUAGUCUUGGACAUGGCUACAGACAUUUAGUCUUGGACAUGGCUACAGACAUUUUUGGAGGCAUUUUUGACCGACCAAUCCGUCACAACACCAAGCUAUGAAGAAAAUGCAUUUGUAGAAAACAUGCCAGCCUCUGAUAUGCAGAUUCUUCCUAAGGCCACAAAUGUUCUGUUUUGAAGGAGGUCAAAUAGAGAGAUAUAGCUUUUUACAAAUCCUAGAUUUAUCUGUCCCAUGAGCUUCUCCAGUCUGUCUGAUAUCCUGUCAGUAGACUGUGGUGUGGGUGGUUUAAGAGAAAUGCUGAAUCCUAUUAGCGUCUCUCUUGGAAGCGCUGCACAAUCUGUACUGUCUCCUCUAAUCUCCUCUAAACAUCACUGUAUUUUUCUAUAUGUAUGUCAAAAAUAACAGCACAUACACACAGACACAGAUGCUGGUUAUAAGUUAUUCUUUGCCGUACGUUGUGGUACACAAACGAAAGUCAGAAAAAGUUUGUUGUGUGAUCUCUCCCGGAGGCUGGAUUUGCAGCAACAACUGUGAGGGAAUCAAAGGGGAUCCUGUUUGUAGUUUUUUUUAAGGAUUCGUAAGCAUUCCUGAUAGAGCCUUAAUGCAACCUGUUGGCAAAUCCUGGUUUGACAGCUGCGAGACAAGACAGCAGCUGUGAGUUUCGAUGGGCGAUUGUUGCUUUACAAGGCCUACCACUCUGUACAGCAUCACGCCCAGAUUUUUUCCAAAGAUGGACAAAGCAGUAAUUGACAUCAUGCUGGAGAAUGAAAAAAAAAGGUUUCAGUCAAGAUCAUAGAUCCACACCCCAGGUGCACAUUGCUUCACUCAUUUUUCAUGAAAGACUAUUUUGUAUUUUUAAUAUUUUGUGCUUGCGAGAUGACAACUCCACUGAUCCGUUAAAGUGCCUGGAUGCGAGAGGGGUCAGCCUCAUCCCCCUCGUCUGACAGGCCUGGAAGUGUGAAGGAGAGAGACGAGUUUGUUCCUCUAAUUCAGAGUGAAAGGCCACUCCCUUCCCCUCUCCUCUGUCUCCUACACAAGCCUCUCACCCUACAUGGCUUCCCAGAACCCCACCCGACCUCCGGAAGAAGGAAAAAAGUUUUCAUAAAUGCGCACUAAGAAAAGGAGAGGAGGCUGAAGUUGAGGUGGUAAAAGCAAAAGACGAUGUUCUGUGUUGUUAGAGGAAAAGUUGGUUUCAUCGGCAGAAGUGGAACUAUUCCAAAGAAUGUCGAAAAUGUCGGAUCUAUGGGGAAGAAGUCGUGUCGUUGUGGGCAUUUGCAGAUGGAAUUGUGCCUACUUUUAAGGAAACACAUAAGUUGGCAGAUCUAUAUGCAUAUAUAUACAGGUAAGUCCAAACUGGUGUAUGCAGUAUUCUUGUAUAAAGAGACAGAGAGAGAGAAAGACUACAGUUUUUUUUCACAACCAAACUGCAACAUUGAAUUAGUAUCAAGUCAUUACUAGUCAACCUAGCCCAUGUGAGUGCAGGGAAAGGAACAGAUAUGAUGUAAGUUCUGUGUGCGUGUGCGUGUGCGUGUGCGUGUGUGUAAGUGUGUGUAAGUGUAUGUGCAUGCGCAUUGGUGUGUGUAAGUGUGUGUGCACACACGUGUGUGUGUUUGUGUGUGUGUGUGUGUGUGUGUGUGUGUGUAAGUGUAUGUGCACACGCAUGUGUGUGUGUGUGUGUGUCUGUGUUUGUGUGUGUGCAUGCGUAUGUGUGUGUGUGUGUGUGUGUGUGGCAUGAGCUCUGUCUCUGCACAUUAGUAUCACCACCAUUAACAUGAGGCUGUGGCCCCCAUGUGCACCACGCCAAAACGUUCUUCGUUCCAUGACACUGCACCUUAAGUGUGUGUAUGUGUGUGUGUGUGUGUGUAUGUAUGUGUGUGUGUGUGUGUGUGUGUGUGUGUGUGUGUGUGUGUGUGUGUGUGUGUGUGUGUGUGUGUAUGCAUGUGUGUGGUGGGGGGUAAAGAUAGGGAGACUGAGCCUGUUUAUAAUGUUAAGAAAUUGCCAUGUGGAACAGAUAUGAAAUAUCUAGAUGAGAGUAAUGGUUGUCAUGGUGUCAGGGGCUUUUAUAAACCCUUGUAGC
ensembl:lncRNA